rnacentral:rRNA from 1 species
AGAGCGAACGCUGGCGGCAGGCCUAAUACAUGCAAGUCGAACGCACCUUCGGGUGAGUGGCGGACGGGUGAGUAACACGUGGGAACGUGCCUUUGGUUCGGAAUAAUCCGGGGAAACCUGGCCUAAUACCGGAUGUGCCCUUCGGGGGAAAGAUUUAUCGCCAUUAGAGCGGCCCGCGUCUGAUUAGCUUGUUGGUGGGGUAAUGGCCCACCAAGGCUACGAUCAGUAGCUGGUCUGAGAGGAUGAUCAGCCACACUGGGACUGAGACACGGCCCAGACUCCUACGGGAGGCAGCAGUAGGGAAUCUUGCGCAAUGGGCGAAAGCCUGACGCAGCCAUGCCGCGUGAAUGAUGAAGGUCUUAGGAUUGUAAAAUUCUUUCAGCGGGGAAGAUAAUGACUGUACCGCAGAAGAGCUCCGGCUAACUCGCGCCAGCAGCCGC